rnacentral:lncRNA from 1 species
GCUUUCCAGCAGAGACAUACAAAACACAUGGAUUACUUUAAUUCUCCAUUGACUUUCCUUGUUGAUCCAUUUAGAUUUAAUUUUUUUCCUCCUCUCCAAAUUGUUUACAUGGUUCAAACCAUCUGGGGAGCUUUAGAAAAUCCUCAUAUCCAGACUACACCUCAGGCCAAUUAAAUCAGAAUUUCUAGGACUGGGGCCAAGGUACUGGUAUCAGCAUUUUUUUAAAAAGCUCCCUAGGAGAUUUCAAUGUACAGCCAAGACUGAGAACCACUGUUUCAGAUCAAACUAUGUAAAAUCUGAUUAGAAGAACCCCAGACUGGAAGCCAGUAGUAAAUAAAUAAACAUGCAGGUCUGGAAUUUCUUAAUGGACACACCAUUAAAUCCUGUGAACUCCCUUCUGAUUGACUGUUCUUUUCCUAACUUGUUUAAGGGACACAAUUUCCAGUGAACUUGAAACUACAGUCUGAAAAAAAUCAUAUGCAAAAAAUGAGGCUCCUUGCUGCUGCAGGAUUCAGAAAGAACCGUGCAUCUUGGAAGACAUUUCAGGAACCUCCAGGAAAACCCAGAGACAACAGAGAGACAGAAACAAGGACAGCAGAGGUUUGUGACAGUUAAGCUGGACUAUUGACUUUUUUCACUUGAGAGCUGCCAGAAGUUUUAUCAGGUAAUUGGCACUGAAAGAACAAAAAAGAAAACAAAAAAGUGUCUCCUUCUGGGAAAGAAGUAGGGAAGUCUACUAAGGAAGAAAGGAAGGUAGCAGUCAAAGGCAGUUGGAAGAUGGUGCCCCCCUCACUUUCAUCUGCUCUUUGAAUGAUCGCACCUGACGGAUGAAGUCUCACAUGACACCCAGAAACCUACCUGGCAGAGAGUCUGGGAAAUGGGAUUUCCACUAUCCAGUUUUUGCUUAACGAAAGUAGGUACAUUCGGAGGAGGUGGUAAUGGAUGCAGAGCUCAGGCCAAUCUCAAAACACACCUGGUGAAGAUAAGCUUGGAGUAGGAAGGGUGGUGGAGAGGAUCGGGUGCGAAAGACACAAUAAUAGAGAGGUCUGGAAGAAUUACUGGGAUGGCUGGAUAGGGAAAACUACGGAAGAGGGGGAACAAUCCUCUAGGUAAUGAGCAUGGACUGUGAACGUUGGCAGGGAGUAGGAAUGUCUUAAGGCAAGACACACCAAUGUGGAGGUUAUUGCAUUAAUUAAAGUGAGUCCCAUCGGUGGCUUGGAGACAAUAGUGAUAGAAAUGGAGAGAUGAUUUGGAGAGCUAAUUAAAAUACUGCAAUCAUUUUAAUGUUGUCCUUUUCUUUUUUCAUGGUGGUUCUUCUUUCUGGGGUAACCCUGUAUUCUAGUUCUUUGCUUGUUUCACUGUAAGGCCUAUAGGGUAUUACAGGGCUCAUCACCCUCCUCUCCCUGCCCACCGUCUGUAGUAGUUGUGGUCAGGGCGGCUCCUGUCCUCAGGUAGUUCAUGUGACUAUUGCCUUCUCAGUUAGAAAGGGAUCUUAAAGAGCAGGAAUCAUGUUUUAUGUGUAUUUGAUGCACAUUUGAACAUUCCAAUGAAGGCACAUGGAGUUAAUAAUACAUUUGUUGCAGAGACUCCAUAUCAAAAUGUCAUUUCCAAUGUUACGUCUAAGCCAGUUGCAUGACUCUUACAACUCCUAUGUGGAGGGUCUGAAAAAUGGAGUGGAGGAAGGAUUUUAAAGAGGAUUUAUCGGCAAGGAGCCGUGCUGUGAGUCUAUCUUUCUCCAUGGGGAGAGGAUGAUGAACGCAAUCCUAAGCCUAGCACAAGGGACUUACAGACAACACUCACUGAAUUUGUUAUGAAAUUAGCAUAUCGAGGAGACCAGUGUUUGGCUCUUGUCUGAGGAAUCAAACAAGCAUGAGAUCUGCUGCCUUGCUUUAGGUGGAUGGACUGCAGGAGGAUGCAUGACUCAUCAUCAAGGGAAUUUCAGAUGAGAAGUCUUCUAAUGGAGCUCUUUCUAAGAAUCCACAAAAUAGGUCUUGAGAGUGUCAUAAGAGAGUAUGGGACUGUUUUGUGACAGAACUACAUAGCCAACGAUUUUCCUGCCCUGUCCCAACUGUCUCCUCAACACUCAUUGACUUUGGAGAAAAGCAUCAGAACCAGUUUAGAAAGAUGGAGAAGGGGCAGUCCAAGGAAGAAGGACUCCUCCACCCGCUCUUCACCACUUGUCUGUGUUCUUACUGUUAAACUCAACUAAAUUUGCCUUGAGAAUGCUUUGUACAUGAAUCCUCACAUAAUUAACUGCAAGCUAAGUUAGUACUUUCACUAAGGGAUAGUCUAAUCUAGGAGUAUACUUUUAUAACAAAUAGCUGAGUCCUCACCAAUUAUAGCGGCUGAGCUCCAGUUAAUCACAAGAGACCAAGUGUUCAAACAUUUUCAAAUAUGGCAAACUUGGAGCUGCAACCAUGCUCGCUAUUAUCUCAGUGCCACAUUUCCGUUUUCUGACCACAUAUGCUGUCUGACCGUGCAGCAAACUGGGGACCUUUAACUUGAUCUGCUUUGGAUGGCUGCCUGAUUCUAGGAUCAUGAAUAAAAGCUGAUAAAGCUCUUUAAG